rnacentral:rRNA from 1 species
CCUUUACUAUAGCUUGACACUGAACAUUGAGCCUUGAUGUGUAGGAUAGGUGGGAGGCUUUGAAGUGUGGACGCCAGUCUGCAUGGAGCCGACCUUGAAAUACCACCCUUUAAUGUUUGAUGUUCUAACGUUGACCCGUAAUCCGGGUUGCGGACAGUGUCUGGUGGGUAGUUUGACUGGGGCGGUCUCCUCCUAAAGAGUAACGGAGGAGCACGAAGGUUGGCUAAUCCUGGUCGGACAUCAGGAGGUUAGUGCAAUGGCAUAAGCCAGCUUGACUGCGAGCGUGACGGCGCGAGCAGGUGCGAAAGCAGGUCAUAGUGAUCCGGUGGUUCUGAAUGGAAGGGCCAUCGCUCAACGGAUAAAAGGUACUCCGGGGAUAACAGGCUGAUACCGCCCAAGAGUUCAUAUCGACGGCGGUGUUUGGCACCUCGAUGUCGGCUCAUCACAUCCUGGGGCUGAAGUAGGUCCCAAGGGUAUGGCUGUUCGCCAUUUAAAGUGGUACGCGAGCUGGGUUUAGAACGUCGUGAGACAGUUCGGUCCCUAUCUGCCGUGGGCGCUGGAGAACUGAGGGGGGCUGCUCCUAGUACGAGAGGACCGGAGUGGACGCAUCACUGGUGUUCGGGUUGUCAUGCCAAUGGCACUGCCCGGUAGCUAAAUGCGGAAGAGAUAAGUGCUGAAAGCAUCUAAGCACGAAACUUGCCCCGAGAUGAGUUCUCCCUGACUCCUUGAGAGUCCUGAAGGAACGUUGAAGACGACGACGUUGAUAGGCCGGGUGUGUAAGCGCAGCGAUGCGUUGAGCUAACCGGUACUAAUGAACCGUGAGG